GGUUACUUGCGCCCUCUAUAAAUGAAAGACGGUACCGCCAGUUCUGGGAAUCGCACAGGGGUGCGUACAAAUGGACCAGGACGCGGAGAGCACGGAAACAACGGUGCUGGGACCUUGUGCACAGAAUCCAGAUGCCAGAUGGGAAUUAAACAUUCGGCCGAGAAAAGCAAUCUAGUUCCCUGGGCUCGACUUUGACUCACUCCUUGGUCUGCACCAAUCCUCACAUCCCUCAGGUCCUCUAACUUUUACGACAGUAUCCAGAAAUCGAUUCUUUGGUCUCUACGGCUCCAGAAGGCUCGCUCAUCAAGAAACGUUCCAUUACCUUCGAUUAGAAGUGGAUACAUAUAUGAUUUUGGCCUAAAAAAAAAUUUGCAAAAAGGGAGAAUGCAAACUUGUCCUUUUCCUUUUGGAUUUACGGAGUGCCAGUAUCAGAGUCUAUUGAGGAGGAAUCUCUGAAAAUGACAGCUGAUGGGUGUAGAGACCCACGCCCGGAAUCUCAGCAACUGAAGUGGUUGAAGCAGGAGCAUCUGGGCAGAGCUUGAACCAGGAAGCUGAGCGGCACCAUAGGUGUUGCUAACCAAGCAUAGCAGCAUAAUAAAAAUGGAGUGAUUAAAUGU
rnacentral:lncRNA from 1 species